UUAACAAAUGUUGCUUAUAGGUUUCAGGUGAGUAAUGUGUGUUCAAUUCAAUAUUCCAUACACAAAGGGAAACUGGAUGUUCCUAGGUCUCAAUUAGCUGGCACACUGGGAGUCAAAUUAACAUUAAUAGCUCUUGAGAGCCUCCCCUGGAUACCACCAGGACCUUCUGUGCAUGCCCAGUCCCUUCCAUCUGGGCUCUGCUGGGCUCAGACGUUCUCCAGGGCUGACGGUCAGAGCUGCUGCAAGGUCUGGGGUAGGCUGUGUGUGGGAGGUCCCUCUGUCUGUGUGUCACACUUCAUCACUUCAGCCUGGAGGCAACACAGCUUGGACCUGAGUCUCACAUGGUUUUCAUCAAAACAGCCCCUUUAGCCUCAUCCUGCAGUGUCUCGAUAGAAGAUAAGACUGAGUUUCCAGCACUGCCUGGGAAUACACAUCAUCCUGCUUCAUCUACUGGGCUUCUGGUGUCAUCGUGGAUGCCUCCGCUCCAAAGUUCUUCUCUUUCAGCUAACAUUGAUCAAAGGUUGAACAUGUGCCAGCUACUGGAUGGGAGGCUCUUACAGUCAUCGUUUCAUUUAAUAUGUGUAAUGAGAGUUCAAGUAUCCAGGAUUCUCACCCACGUGAAACCUUCCUUGAAGGCUGAGCCAUCCUAUGUCUAAAGAGGAAUCACUGCCACUCAGAAAAACUUCCAUCAACUUCCUUCUGCGCUGCGUGAAACUGACUCAUCUGAGUAAAGUGUUAUGAGAAAAUUCACGCCCCAUCACAGAGAAACAGCUGUGUGUUGCCACAGUCACUAACUUUUGAAAGAUGCUCA